rnacentral:tRNA from 1 species
UGGGGCGUAGCCAAGUGGUCUAAGGCACCGGCUUUUGAUGCCGGCAUUCCCAGGUUCGAAUCCUGGCGCCCCAGCCA